rnacentral:misc_RNA from 1 species
CUCUCGCACCCAACAUCGACACCAUACUUUCCUUUCCCUUGCAUAAUUUUGCAAGACCAAAAUCAGAGAUUUUAGGACAAAAAUUUUCAUCUAGAAGAAUGUUAUGAGGUUUUAUGUCAAAAUGUAAAAUUUGCAUCUCCCUCUAUGCAAAUACUCUAAACCUCUAGCAGUGCCAAUUGCAAUGUCAUAUAACAUUUUCCACCCUAAAUCACAGUUAUCAUGCUGAGAUCCUGGAUCAUUUAUGAACUUAUCUAAAGAUCC